CAGUCAUUGGUGGAUCCAACUGUCACGAGGAGGCGCGAGGUCGGGUCGGGGUUUGUUCUCCCAGAAUGCAGAACGGACGGCUCUGGACGACAGCAUGAGUGACUCACGUGGUGGUAGUGCCAUCGCUGCAAGAUAACCCAGGACAAGCGCAGUGUCCCCACUGCCAGCAGACGGUAGGCACCCAAGUAGAACGCACAGCAGGCCUGAUGAUCUGGGGCAUCUGUGGAGGCCUCGCCCUCUUCGGACAUGCCCCUGCUAGCGCUGAGCGCAGCACCUCCACGCAGCGACAAGUCUGCAGAUAAUCACUAAUCAGCGCACCUGGACCUGACGACAGGGAACGGCAUAAAGACCAGCGGACCCGAGGAACUUUUGCCAGAACGUCACUCAUGUUUUGAUGACUUCCCUGUCAUCCGUGAUCGUGUUUUGCCUCUCAACAUCCACCCGGAUUCCUGAAUGCCUUCCUCGAUCCUCGACCCCUGCUCGGACACUGACUACGCUGCCUUUCUCCUACGCUCGACCCCUUGCCUGUUUACGGACUGCCUCUUUGCCUUGACCCCCCCUUGAUUCGACGAAGGAUACAUCUAACACUCACAGAAAACAACCCCUGCUAACA